rnacentral:rRNA from 1 species
UACGUAGGGUGCAAGCGUUAAUCGGAAUUACUGGGCGUAAAGCGUGCGCAGGCGGUUUUGUAAGUCUGAUGUGAAAUCCCCGGGCUCAACCUGGGAAUUGCAUUGGAGACUGCAAGGCUAGAAUCUGGCAGAGGGGGGUAGAAUUCCACGUGUAGCAGUGAAAUGCGUAGAGAUGUGGAGGAACACCGAUGGCGAAGGCAGCCCCCUGGGCUAACACUGACGCUCAUGCACGAAAGCGUGGGGAGCAAACAGG